rnacentral:rRNA from 1 species
CUGGCGGCGUGCUUAACACAUGCAAGUCGAACGAGAGGACAAGAGAAGCUUGCUUCUUUUGGACUGAGUGGCGGACGGGUGAGUAACGCGUGGGUAACCUGCCUUAUACAGGGGGAUAACAGUUGGAAACGACUGCUAAUACCGCAUAAGCGCACGGUAUCGCAUGAUACAGUGUGAAAAACUCCGGUGGUAUAAGAUGGACCCGCGUCUGAUUAGCUUGUUGGCGGGUAACGGCCCACCGAGGCGACGAUCAGUAGGGGUUCUGAGAGGAAGGCCCCCCACAUUGGAACUGAGACACGGUCCAAACUCCUACGGGAGGCAGCAGUGAGGAAUAUUGGUCAAUGGACGAGAGUCUGAACCAGCCAAGUAGCGUGCAGGAUGACGGCCCUAUGGGUUGUAAACUGCUUUUAUAAGGGAAUAAAGUGAGUCUCGUGAGACUUUUUGCAUGUACCUUAUGAAUAAGGACCGGCUAAUUCCGUG